rnacentral:rRNA from 1 species
UCUACGGGAGGCAGCAGUGGGGAAUAUUGCACAAUGGGCGAAAGCCUGAUGCAGCGACGCCGCGUGAGUGAAGAAGGUUUUCGGAUCGUAAAGCUCUGUCAUCCCGGACGAUAAUGACGGUACCGGAAGAGGAAGCCACGGCUAACUACGUGCCAGCAGCCGCGGUAAUA